UACGAAGGGUGCAAACGUUGCUCGGAAUUAUUGGGCGUAAAGAGCUCGUAGGCGGUUUGUCGCGUCUGCCGUGAAAGUCCGGGGCUCAACUCCGGAUCUGCGGUGGGUACGGGCAGACUAGAGUGAUGUAGGGGAGACUGGAAUUCCUGGUGUAGCGGUGAAAUGCGCAGAUAUCAGGAGGAACACCGAUGGCGAAGGCAGGUCUCUGGGCCGAAACUGACGCUGAGGAGCGAAAGCGUGGGGAGCGAACAGG
rnacentral:rRNA from 1 species